UACGAAGGGGGCUAGCGUUGCUCGGAAUGACUGGGCGUAAAGGGCGCGUAGGCGGUUUGGACAGUCAGAUGUGAAAUUCCUGGGCUCAACCUGGGGGCUGCAUUUGAUACGUUCGGACUAGAGUGGGGAAGAGGGUCGUGGAAUUCCCAGUGUAGAGGUGAAAUUCGUAGAUAUUGGGAAGAACACCGGUGGCGAAGGCGGCGACCUGGUCCUUGACUGACGCUGAGGCGCGAAAGCGUGGGGAGCAAACGGG
rnacentral:rRNA from 1 species